GAUGAACGCUAGCGGCAGGCUUAAUACAUGCAAGUCGAGGGGUAACACGGGUAGCAAUACCUGGUGACGACCGGCAAACGGGUGCGGAACACGUACAGAACCUUCCUUUAAGCGGGGGAUAGCCCAUAGAAAUGUGGAUUAAUACCCCAUAGUAAUAUUGUCUGGCAUCAGAUGGUAUUUAAAGAUUUAUCACUUAAAGAUGGCUGUGCGGCUGAUUAGGUAGUUGGUGCGGGAACGGCCCACCAAGCCAUCGAUCAGUAACUGGUGUGAGAGCACGACCAGUCACACGGGCACUGAGACACGGGCCCGACUCCUACGGGAGCAGCAGUAAGGAA
rnacentral:rRNA from 1 species